CAGUUCUCCAGAGAAGGGUCCCCCGGGCAGCUGGGAGCAGCCCAGCCUGGGAGAGCAGAUCUGGGUGAGGCUCCAACAGCAUCUUCUAGAACAACCUUCUGAGACAGCACGCCCUAAACCAGGCCCAGGAGGUACAGAGGUUAGACCUCGGCCCUGUGCCCGUGAAGCUCCUGGUCCAGCAGGAGGGACAGGGUAUCGACCCCCAGGGACAUCCCAGCGGAGCAGCCUCACGACGGGAGGAGGCACUUGGGGCAGCCAGAGCCUCUGUCUGAGCCCGGGGCAGUCUGGGAAGGCUUCCCAGAGGAGCACUGGCAUUCUCAGCCCAGGACUGAAACUUGGGACCAUGUGGCAAACCCCACCCCUGAAGGGACCCGCCGGAGUGAGAGGCCCCGGAACAGAGGAUGAGUAGCAGAUUCAGAAAGAGCCAAAUACGAGUGCAAGACGCCUUGGAGCUGCUGCCGUUUGAACCAUUGGAACCGAGCCUGUGAACAGCUUUCUCCUACAGAGACUGUUCCAGAUCCGGUCGGCGCUUCCAGAACGGUCCACCGAGACGCCUUCCGAGGACUGGGUCUGAGGCUCUUCUUCAAGUUACUGAAUGCCAGCAUCAUCCUGGUCAU
rnacentral:lncRNA from 1 species